GACGAACGCUGGCGGCGUGCUUAACACAUGCAAGUCGAACGGAAAGGCCCUGCUUUUGUGGGGUGCUCGAGUGGCGAACGGGUGAGUAACACGUGAGUAACCUGCCCUUGACUUUGGGAUAACUUCAGGAAACUGGGGCUAAUACCGGAUAGGAGCUCCUGCUGCAUGGUGGGGGUUGGAAAGAUUCGGCGGUUGGGGAUGGACUCGCGGCUUAUCAGCUUGUUGGUGGGGUAGUGGCUUACCCAGGCUUUGACGGGUAGCCGGCCUGAGAGGGUGACCGGCCACAUUGGGACUGCGAUACGGCCCAGACUCCUACGGGAGGCAGCAGUGGGGAAUAUUGCACAAUGGGCGGAAGCCUGAUGCAGCAACGCCGCGUGCGGGAUGACGGCCUUCGGGUUGUAAACCGCUUUCGCCUGUGACGAAGCGUGAGUGACGGUAAUGGGUAAAGAAGCACCGGCUAACUACGUG
rnacentral:rRNA from 1 species